rnacentral:rRNA from 1 species
AUACGGAGGGUCCAAGCGUUAUCCGGAAUCAUUGGGUUUAAAGGGUCCGCAGGCGGUCAAUUAAGUCAGAGGUGAAAGCCCAUCGCUCAACGAUGGAACUGCCUUUGAUACUGGUUGACUUGAGUUAUACGGAAGUAGAUAGAAUAAGUAGUGUAGCGGUGAAAUGCAUAGAUAUUACUUAGAAUACCGAUUGCGAAGGCAGUCUACUACGUAUAUACUGACGCUGAGGGACGAAAGCGUGGGGAGCGAACAGGAUUAGAUACCCCUGUAGUCC